GCGCUCGUAGCUCAGUGGAUAGAGCCCCCGCCUUCUAAGCGGGUUGUCGUUGGUUCGAAUCCAACCGAGCGCG
rnacentral:tRNA from 2 species